rfam:Gossypium hirsutum cultivar TM-1 chromosome 23, whole genome shotgun sequence
AACCCAUGGUGAGGGCACCUUCUCAUAAGAUCCUUGUAUCUCUCCCAUGCAUCAUAGAGUGUUCUAAAUCCAUCUGCACAAAAAAAGAGAUAUCAUUCCUCAAUUU